AACUUUCGGCAAUGGAUCACUGAGGAGUACCGGCUUGACCGCCCAAAUACAGAUAAUCACCGAGGACUCCAAAGCGACCUUUUCGAACUUCGCCGCCCAACGUAUCAAUAACGUUGAUAUGCUUGAGAAUCGGUCCGACUCCAACGUCCACAUAGGGGUUAACCCCGUGAAAUCCAGUGUGGCCGCUGACCCCGGCCAGCCAGCCCGUCGACCGUGAUUUGCCAAGGUUCAGUCGUCGUGACCAAUGGUUGUUCGACGACCUUUGCCUCUUCUGGUGUACCAGCCCAUCCGGCAAUAGGUGCAAGAAAGAAAACUGUUACUACGCUCAGCUUAGCUAGGAAAUUCAUAUUAAGCGCAAUUUACAGCUUGGCUCGAGAGAUCCGUUGUCAAAAGUUCGAUGACGCCA
rnacentral:misc_RNA from 1 species